rnacentral:rRNA from 1 species
CCUACGGGAGGCAGCAGUGAGGAAUAUUGGUCAAUGGGCGGGAGCCUGAACCAGCCAAGUCGCGUGAGGGACGACGGUCCUAUGGAUUGUAAACCUCUUUUGUCGGGGAACAAAGGCGUCCACGGGUGGGCGGAUGAGUGUACCCGAAGAAAAAGCAUCGGCUAACUCCGUGCCAGCAGCCGCGGUAAUACGGAGGAUGCGAGCGUUAUCCGGAUUUAUUGGGGUAAAGGGGGGCGUAGGCGGACAGUCGAGUCAGCGGUAAAAAUGCGGUGCUCAACGCGGUACAGCCGUUGACACUGGCAGUCUUGAGUGGGCGAGAGGUAUGCGGAAUGCGUGGUGUAGCGGUGAAAUGCAUAGAUAUUACGAAGAACUCCGAUUGCGAAGGCAGCAUACCGGCGCGCUACUGACGCUGAGGCACGAAAGCGUGGGUAUCGAACAGGAUUAGAUACCCUUGUAGUC